GUUUUUCUCUUCAUUAAAGUUUGCUAAAUAUUUUGGUUCAUUGUUCUCCCCAAGCCUUAAACAUAUUAUUUAUGUUAAAUUAACUAUAUAGUUUCCCUUCUUAAACAAGUCACAUUCUUGUCUUUCUUAGUUGAAAGCCAAUAUAAGAUAAAAAUGUUUAUGAGAUAAAAUUAAAUAAGAGAAAAAAUGCCACCGGGAACAGUUCCAACCUUGGGAAUUACAUGUGACCUGUUUCAGUGUUGGAACCCAUAAACCCAUUUCCAUUUUGAAACCCAUGUUCAUGACCUAAGAACUACUAGCUCUAUUUUAAUCCCUAGUUGGAAUGUCAUCUCUCCUACUUUGGGAGGAUAAUCUUAGAUGAUUCACAGGUAUUUUCAUAGCAAGCAUGAGUGAAGGCUGGAUAAAACUAAUAGAUCAAGAAUUGGAUUUGUACU
ensembl:sense_intronic